rnacentral:rRNA from 1 species
UACGUAGGCAGCGAGCGUUGUUCGGAAUUACUGGGCGUAAAGCGUGCGUAGACGGUUAUAUAAGUCGGGUGUGAAAGCCCCGGGCUCAACCUGGGAAUUGCAUUCGAGACUGCGUAGCUAGGGUGCGGAAGAGGGAAGCGGAAUUUCCGGUGUAGCGGUGAAAUGCGUAGAUAUCGGAAAGAACACCAGUGGCGAAAGCGGCUUCCUGGUCCAGCACCGACGUUCAGGCACGAAAGCGUGGGGAGCAAACAGG